rnacentral:rRNA from 1 species
CCAUGCAGUCGAACGGCAGCACGGGAGCUUGCUCCUGGUGGCGAGUGGCAAACGGGUGAGUAAUGCGUCUGAACGUACCGAGUAAUGGGGGAUAACGCACCGAAAGCUGUGCUAAUACCGCAUACGCCCUGAGGGGGAAAGUGGGGGAUCGCAAGACCUCACGUUAUUCGAGCGGUCGACGUCUGAUUAGCUAUUUGGUGGGGUAAUGGCCUACCAAGGCGACGAUCAAUACCGGGUCUGAGAGGAUGAUCCGCCACACUGGAACUGAGACACGGUCCACACUCCUACGGGAGGCAGCAGUGGGGAAUUUUGGACAAUGGGGGCAACCCUGAUCCAUCCAUUCCGCGUGAGUGAAUAAGGCCUUCGGGUUGUAAAGCUCUUUCAACUGGAACGAAACGGUACGCCCUAACAUAGCGUGCUAAUGACGGUACCGGCAUAAGAAGCACCGGCUAACUACGUGCCAGCAGCCGCGGUAAUACGUAGGGUGCGAGCGUUAAUCGGAAUUACUGGGCGUAAAGCGUGCGCAGGCGGAUUGUUAAGCAAGAUGUGAAAUCCCCGGGCUUAACCUGGGAAUGGCAUUUUGAACUGGCAGUCUAUAGUGCGUCAGAGGGGGGUGUAAUUCCACGUGUAGCAGUGAAAUGCGUAGAGAUGUGGAGGAACACCAAUGGCGAAGGCAGCCCCCUGGGAUGACACUGACGCUCAUGUACGAAAGCGUGGGCAGCAAACAGGAUUAGAUACCCUGGUAGUCCACGCCCUAAACGAUGUCACUGGUUGUUGGGGGAGUGAAAUCCCUUAGU